rnacentral:misc_RNA from 1 species
UGUGGGAGCGGGCUUGCCCGCGAUGAGGCCAGCACAUGCAACAUAUUUGUUGGCUGACAGGCCGCCAUCGCGGGCAAGCCCGCUCCCACA